UAGGAUCUCGUAGGUGACCUGCGGAGGGACAUUACACAAAUAUGAAGGCGGGCUGGAACCUCUCGGGGUUACAGCCUUGCUGAAUUAUUCACCCUUGUCUUUUGCGUACUUCUUGUUUCCUUGGUGGGUUCGCCCACCACUAGGACAAACAUAAACCUUUUGUAAUUGCAAUCAGCGUCAGUAACAAAUUAAUAAUUACAACUUUCAACAACGGAUCUCUUGGUUCUGGCAUCGAUGAAGAACGCAGCGAAAUGCGAUAAGUAGUGUGAAUUGCAGAAUUCAGUGAAUCAUCGAAUCUUUGAACGCACAUUGCGCCCUUUGGUAUUCCAAAGGGCAUGCCUGUUCGAGCGUCAUUUGUACCCUCAAGCUUUGCUUGGUGUUGGGCGUCUUGUCUCUAGCUUUGCUGGAGACUCGCCUUAAAGUAAUUGGCAGCCGGCCUACUGGUUUCGGAGCGCAGCACAAGUCGCACUCUCUAUCAGCAAAGGUCUAGCAUCCAUUAAGCCUUUUUUUCAACUUUUGACCUCGGAUCAGGUAGGGAUACCCGCUGAACUUAA
rnacentral:rRNA from 1 species